rnacentral:misc_RNA from 1 species
UCCCAGUUUCCUGGGCAGUCUCGUUUGAAAAAUACAACAAACAAUAAGGGUUGCGCUCGUUACCGGACUUAACCGAACACCUCACGGCACGAGCUGACGACGGCCAUGCAACACCUGUCAUCUGGUUCCCGAAGGCACGGCUCUGUUUCCAGAGCGUUCCAGAGAUGUCAAGCCUCGGUAAGGUUCUUCGCUUACCGUCGAAUUAAACCACAUGCUCCACUGCUUGUGCGGGCCCCCGUCAAUUCCUUUGAGUUUUAGUCUUGCGACCGUACUCCCCAGGCGGGAUACUUAACGCGUUAGCUACGAUACUGCACGGGUCGAUACGCACAAUAUCUAGUAUCCAUCGUUUACGGCGUGGACUAC